rnacentral:rRNA from 1 species
GAUGAACGCUAGCGGCAGGCNUAAUACAUGCAAGUCGGACGGGAUCCAUUGAUAGCUUGCUAUCCAUGGUGAGAGUGGCGCACGGGUGCGUAACGCGUGAGCAACCUACCUCCAUCAGGGGGAUAGCCUCUCGAAAGAGAGAUUAACACCGCAUAACAUCAACAGUUCGCAUGUUCAGUUGAUUAAAUAUUUAUAGGAUGGAGAUGGGCUCGCGUGACAUUAGCUAGUUGGUAGGGUAACGGCUUACCAAGGCGACGAUGUCUAGGGGCUCUGAGAGGAGAAUCCCCCACACUGGUACUGAGACACGGACCAGACUCCUACGGGAGGCAGCAGUAAGGAAUAUUGGUCAAUGGGCGGAAGCCUGAACCAGCCAUGCCGCGUGCAGGAUGACUGCCCUAUGGGUUGUAAACUGCUUUUGUCCGGGAAUAAACCUCCUUACGUGUAGGGAGCCGAAUGUACCGGAAGAAUAAGGAUCGGCUAACUCC